rnacentral:tRNA from 2 species
GGGGGCGUAGCUCAGCUGGCUAGAGCGCCACGUUGACAUCGUGGAGGUCACAGGUUCAAGUCCUGUCGCCCCCA